AACAAAAGAUUUAACUUUACUGAAAGCAAUAAAAAAGAGAAAAGAGUAACAACAAGUCUUGAGCUUUCAAAACUCUCUCAAUGAUUUUCUUACUUUGAAUAAUGUAAAAUGCUAGUCUACAGAUAAGAAACUGAUCUGGUUAUUAUACAUAGGACUUAACCAAACUUACUAAAAUUAGUAAACCUAGGACUAAUAACUGAAUAAACAACCUUGUAUUUUAUAUAAAAAUAAAGUCUUCUUGAAUUGAGUGUUGUCAUCUUGAUCAUUUGAAACUAACUUGUAUAUUAGGUGUCAGAUUUGGACACUGAUUUUGUUUCCUUUGCUCUGUGUGCAGGUUUGAUGGAGAUGGGUAUAUAUAUUGACUUCAUUAUUCUAAAAACUUAUUUAAUGAGUAUAUAUAUUGACGUCUUCAACAAGAAGAAUACUUUUGAGCUCCCAAAUUCAUGAAGAUUGGAGACCUGAAAGGGAAUUUUGGAUUACUCGUGGUGAUCAUGCAAAUUCUGAGAGCAAAGCUCAAAGUAUUAGAUCUUUCGUAUGGAAAUGGAACAGGUAUAAUUAAGCACAACUCUACUACACAUCUGGUACUGAAAUAUCUGUCUUCAUGUGAAUGUAAUUUUAGAAAUUAGUCAAUCCUAAAUGUAGAAUAUAAAUAAGGAUUGGUAAAAUAAAGUGAAGCCUAAGAAUGCAAACUUCACGCCAUUGAAGUUUGGUACACUCAAUCUCUAUUAACAAUUUUAUUAUUUUUAAGUGAGUUAUGUCGGCAAGGAUAGGAAUGUCC